rfam:Brachypodium distachyon strain Bd21 chromosome 4, whole genome shotgun sequence.
GCGGCGGAGGUCGCCGUGACCGCCACGGUGCGCCGGUCGACGGCGCUGCUGGGUGGCACCGGCGUGCAGGUGCAAGAGGGCUGGCCCCACGCGGACGACGACGGCGGGACGGUGUGGUUCCGACCGGCCGC